UUCAGGGCGAAUAUUGAUGAGGUGGAGACGGAGGUUGUGGAGAUCGAGGCAAAGCUAGAUAAGCUGGUGAAGCUAUGCAGUGGGAUGAUCGAGGCGGGGAAGGCGUAUGUGAGCGCCAACAAACUCUUCGUCAACGGCAUCCGGGAUCUGUCUCAGCAGUGCAAGAAGGACGAGGUGAUCUCUGAGUUCCUGGAAAAGUGCGGGGAAAGCCUCCAGGAGAUCAUCAACUACCACAUG